GGAUGAUUACUUAUGAAUGUGAUGAGGGUGUUAAGCCAAACAUAAAUGUGUGUGUGUGUAGAGGAAAUGAGAAAGGUUUCGGGGACGAAACCUUAUUUAAGGGGGGUAGAUUUGUAACACCCCAAAACCCGAAUAUUUAUAUUCGUUAAAAUGCUGUGAUAUGGUACCUCAAGAAAUAAACAACUAGGCUAAUUAACCUACUUAGAUGUAUGGUUAAAACUAUUAAAAGAUGGAAUGUAAUAAAAUGUUUAACAAAGCAAACAAGGGAACAAACUUGAGGGACCAAAGAUGAACAAGGGGGAAAGUUAUGUCUUAAGUAACAAACACACCCACACAAGCACACACACAUUUCGUGUGUUCUAGAACGAUCAGGGGGAACUCCCCAUGAACCAAACCCUAGUUCUAACACAAUCAUCAAAUUGAGGAGUCAAAUGAAGCUCAAAUUCACAACCAAACAUGAAUUAAGGAUCACCUACUCAAGGGGAUCAUGAGGAAUCAUGUCGAGACGGAAUCAAGCACGGAUGGAUAAUGGGUCAAGAAGUGGCGAGGAAACGAAUAUGAACACGGAUGCAUGAGGUAGUACCAGUCAUGAGGAUAUCCAAGGAUUGGAGAUCGAAGAUCGAGUCACUAGAGAGAUUGUACGGAAACGUUGAUGUACAUAAUGUAGUAAACAUAAGCUAUGUUUUUAACUAGUAAAUAAGAGGAUGACGGAUUUAUGAGAAAGAACUGUGUUAAAGUUAAAUCUUAAAUAAGUUGAGGUAUUUAUAGUGAAAGAAAUUUUAUGGUA